AGACAAGGCCUGGCUCUAUUGUCCAGACUGGAGCGCAGUGGCACAAUCUUGCUCAUUGCAACCUCCGCCUCCUGGGCUCAAGCUAUCUUCCCACCUCAGCCUCCCAAGUGGCUGGGACUACAGGCAUAUGCCACCACACCCAGCUAAUUUUUGUAUUUUUUGUAGAGACAGGGUUUGCCAUGUUGCCCAGGCUGGUCUCACACUCCUAAGCUCAAGCAAUCCACCUGUCUCAGCCUUCCAAAGUACUAGGAUUAUAGGCAUGAACCACCACACCAGGACUCUUUCAGACUUUUUGAUGUAGACAUUAAAUGCUAUGAACUUUUCUCUUAGCACCACUUUUGCUAUGUCCCAGGGGUUUAAUAGAUUGUGUCACUAUUAUCGUUUAGUUCCAAGAAUUUUUUAAAUUUCCAUCUUGAUUUCAUUGUUGACCCAAAGAUUAUUCAAGACCAGAUUAUUUAAUGUCCAUAGUUUCGAGCGUUCCUUUUGGAGUUAAUUUCCAGUUUUAUUCCACUGUGGUCUGAGAGGAUACUUGAUAUAAUUUUCAUUUUCCUAAAUUUAUUGAGACUUGUUUUGUGACCUAUAUGUGGUCUAUCUUGGAGAAUGUUCCAUGUGCUGAUAAAAGAAUGUAUAUUCUGCAGUGGUUUGGAUCCAUUGUUGGGGAGCUAGUGUGGUCUUUUGAGGGUGUUAUAGAACCUAGUUUUGUCAUAUUAGCAAAAUUACUUUUCUGAUUCCUUCUCAUUUGGGUAGACUAUUUCAGUGGAAAAAUCUGGAACUCAAAGCCUGAUGUUCAGAUUUAUUUAUACCACAGAGUGAUCCCUUGAUGUGGUGCUCUCCCCCUUCCCCUAGGGAUAGGGCUUCCUUAGAGCUGGACUGCAGUGAUAAUUACUGCUCUUUUGGGUCUAGCUACCCAGUGGAGCUACCAGGCCCUGGGCUGGUUCUGGGGAAUAUCUGCAAAGAGUCCUGUGAUAGAUUCCUCUUCAGGUCUCCCAGCCAUGGAUAAUAGCACCUGCUCUGGUGGAGGUGACAAGGGAGUGAAGUACACUCUGUGAGAGUCCUUGGUUGCAGAUAUGUUUGGUGGGCUGGCUCUCUCAAAUGCUGGUUAUGCUAGCAGUGAAACUGUCAUGUGGAUAGACGCAGGACCUCUGGUUAGCCAGGAUGUUGCAGGCAGUGGAAUUACCCAGUCUGCCAUUGAUGGGCAUUUAGAUUGGUUCUAUGUCUUUACUAUUGUGAUUAUUGCUGCAGUGAACAUAUGCAUGCAUGUGUCUUUAUGGUAGAGUGAUUUAUAUUCCUUUGGGUAUAUAACCAAUAAUGGGAUUGCUGGGUUAAAUAGUAGUUCUGUUUUAAGUUCUUUGAGAAAUCACCAAACUGCUUUCCACAGUAGCUGAACUAAUUUACAUUCCCACUAGUAUUGUAUAAGUGGUCCCUUUUCUCCACAUCUUUGCCAUCAUCUGUGAUGUUUUUGACUUUUAAAUAAUAGCAUUCUAACUGCUGUGAGAUGGUAUCUCAUUGUGGUUAUUUGCAUUGCUCUAAUGAUUAGUGAUGCUGAGCAUUCUUUUCAUAUGCUUGUUGGCCACCAUAUGUCUUCUUUUGAAAAAUGUAUGUUCAUGUCCUUUGCCCACUUUCUAAUGGGGCUGUUUGUUUUUUGCUUGUUAAUUUAAGUUCCUUAUAGCUUCUGGAUAUUAGACCUUUGACAGAUGCAUAGCUUGCAAAUAUUUUCUCCCAUUCUGUGGGUUGUCUGUUCACUCUGCUGAUAGGUUUUGUUGUUGUUGUUGUUCUUUGCUAUGCUCUUUAAUUAGGUGCCAUUUGUCAAUUUUUGCUUUUGCUGCAAUUGCUUUUGGGGUCUUCGUCGUGAAAUCUUUGCCAGGGCCUGUGUCCAGAAUGGUAUUUCCUAGGUUUUCUAGAGGUUUUAUAGUUUUAGGUUUUACUUUUAAGUCUUUAACCCAUGUUGAGUUGAUUCUUGUAGAUGGUGUAAGGAAGAAGUCCAGCUUCAAUCUUCUGCAUAUGGCUUGCCAGUUAUUCCGGUGCCAUUUAUUGAAUAGGGAGCCCUUUCCCCAUUGCUUUUGUCGACUUUGUUGAGUAUCAGAUGGUUGUAGGUGUACGUUUUUAUUUCUGAGCUCUCUAUUCUGUUCCAUUGGACUGUGUGUCUGUUUUUAUAUCAGUACCAUGCUGUUCUGGUGACUGUAGCCUUAAAGUAUAGUUUGAAGUUGGGUAACAGUGAUGCCUCCAGCUUUGUUCUUUUGCUUAUGAUUGCGUUGGCUAUUCAGGCUCUUUUUUGGUUCCAUAUGAAUUUUAGAAUAGUUUUUUUCUAAUUCUGAGAAGAAUGUCAUUGGUAGUUUGAUAGGGAUAGCACUGAAUCUGUAGAUUGCUUUGGGCAGUAUGACCAUUUAAACAAUAUUGAUUCUUCUUAUCCAUGAGCAUAGAGUAUUUUUCCAUUUGUGUCAUCUCUGAUUUCUUUGAGCAGUGUUGUAAUUCUCGCUGUAGAGAUCUUUCACCUCCCUGAUUAGCUGUAUUCCUAGGUAUUUUGUUUGUGUGUGUGUGUGUGUGUGCGUGUGUGUGUCUGUUCUGAAUGAGAUCAUACUCUUCAUUUGGCACUCAGUUUGGAUACUGUUGGUGUAUAGAAAUGCUACUGAUAUUUGUACAUUGAUUUUGCACCCUGAAACUUUACUGAAGUUGUUUAUAAGAUCUAGGAUCUUUUGGCCAGAUACUAUGGGGUUUUCUAGGUAUAAAAUUAUUUUGUAUUUUGUAUUUUUAUUUAUCGAUUUACUUUUUCUUAUGCUACCUUGUCCAAGAUCUAGUUAUAACAUUAUAUCAUCUGCAAAUAUAGUUUGACUUCUUCUCUUCCUAUUUGGAUGCCUUUUACUUCUUUUUCUUGCCUGAUUGUUCUGGUUAGGAAUUCCAGUACUACGCUGAGUAGGAGCCGUGAGAGUGAGCAUUCUUAUCUUGUUCCAGUUCUCAGGUAGAAUGCUUCUAACUUUUACCCAUACCGUAUGAUGUUGGCUGUGGGUUUGUCAUAGAUGGCUGUUAUUAUUUUGAGAUACGUUCUUUCAGUGCCUAGUUUGUUGAGGAUUUUCAACAUGAAGCAAUGUUGAAUUUUAUCAGAAGUCUUUUCUGCAUCUAUGGAGAUGAUCAUGUGGUUUUUAUUUUUAGUUUUCUUUAUGUGGUCAGGGUGUCCUAUUUCAGAGCCUUUGGGUACUGCUUUGUGAAGAAAGACCUAGUGUUCUCUAUGAGCCAAAAAACCCCCUUCUUUUUCAACUCCCUUCCAGCUUACUCUACCUAUGUCUGUUAACUGUUUUCUUACUCAAUUUGUAUUGUAUUUAUUUAUUUUGUAUACAGAGUGUCACUCUGUCACCCAGGCUGGAGUGCAGUGGUAUGAUCAUAACUCACAACAGCCUGGAACUCCUGGGCUCAAGUGCUCCUCUCACCUCAGCCUCCUGAGUAGCUAGGACUACAGGCACACAUUACCAUGCCCAGCUAAUUUUUUUAUUUUUUAUUUUUGUAGAGAUGGUCUCACCAUCUUCCUCAGGCUGAUCUUGAACUUCUGGACUCAAGCAAUCCUCCCACCUUGACCUCCCAAAGUGCUAGGAUUACAGGCAUGAGCUACUGUGCCCAGCCAAUUUAUAUCAUUUCAUAAAUUUUACUUUACCUACCUUUUGUUAGCUUGGAUUUUCUGGUGUUUUUUUUUCUGUUUUUUUUUUUAGAGUCUCACUCUGUCACCAGGCUGGAGUGCAGUGGCGCAAUCUUGGCUCACUGCAACCUCCGCCUCUUGGGUUCAAGUGAUUCUCCUGCAUCAGCCUCCCAAGUAGCUGGGACUACAGGUGCCUGCCAACAUGCCUGGCUAAUUUUUUGUAUUUUUUUGUAGAGACGGGGUUUCACCAUGUUGGCCAGGAUGGUCUUGAUCUCUUGACCUCGUGAUCCACCCACCUCGGCCUCCCAAAGUGCUGGGAUUACAGGCGUGAGCCACUGCACCCGGCCAGAUUUUCCAGUUCUUAAAAUAACAGUUGUGUUUACUUCCCAAUUCCUUCCAUUUUCCAUACUUGACUAACCUAGCAAAUCUAAAUUGCAAUUAAAUUGGCUUUCAUGACUGCAUUUCAGAAUCUUGUAAUGGAAAUGUUAAUGGCAUGAGCAUUCGUUUAAGUUGGCUAAAGACUCCUUUGCAUGCUAAAUGUGCGUUUGUCAUCCUUCCAUCUCAUCCACCCAUCCAAAAGUCAUUAUUAAGUCUUUUCCCCUCUGGGAUAUACCAAGCAAAUAUAAGACACAGCACCCAGUGGUAAGCAAGCUGUGUUCUCUAACCUAAUGAUUGCCCCUUUGAUGGUGGGUAGAGACCCAGAUUGAAGACUAGUGGUGGUUUGGGCUUAGAGUGAUUCAUCUCCUUAAGAAUCAUCAGUCUUCUUUCCUUAUUACCAUCUCUCCACUUCUACUCUUAACAUUAUUUUUUUCUUUCCUAUUUCUUGAAUACAAUCAUAUAUUAUAAAAACUGAAGAUAGGCAGUACUGAGCUGGAACCUUGACUCAGCUAUUUUCUAUGUGAGUGUUCUUGAGAAUACUUACUGUAUUAGUCCAUUCUCACAUUGCUAUAAAGAAAUACCUGAGACUGGGUAAUUUACAAAGAAAAGAGGUUUAAUCAGCUCAUGAUUCUGCAGGAAGCAUAGUGGCAUCUGCUUCUGGGGAGGCCUCAGGAAACUACAAUCAUGGCGGAAGGUGAAGGGGAAGCAGGCACAUCUUACAUGGCUGGAGCAGGAGCAAAAUAGAGAAUGUUGAGGUGCUACACACUUUUAAACAACUGGAUCUCGUGAGAACACACUAUCACAAGAACAGCUUCAAGAGGAUGGUGCCAAAUCAUUCAUGAGAAAUUGCCCCCUUGAUCCAGUCACCUCCCACCAGGCCCCACCUCCAACACUGGGGAUUACAAUUCAACAUGAGAUUUGGUGGGGACACAGAUCCAAACCAUAUCAUUUACCCUCUCUGAUAUUCAAGAUCCUCAUAUAUAAAAUCGGGAUAAUAGUGUCUGGGCAUUUUAGGACUAGAGAAGAUAUGAAAAAUACCUGAUACUUGAUGUUCUUUACUAAUUUUUAUUGCUGUUAUUAUUGUAUAAUCAUUGUUUCCAUUUUCUCAACAGCAUGAGAGACUUUUUAGAUAGUGCUCAGUGCUCGAUGUUAUGAUAGAGUGAGGUAAAGUAUGGGUAUCAUAGGAAUGGAAUUGGUAGUUAUUAACUAGAGAAUCAUAGGUCAGACAUCUCAAGGACAUCAGAGACCCAAGAAUGCCCCAUACUGCAGAAGAACUCAUGAGAACUUUAAAUAGGACAAAUUUCCUUUAGUUGCCUACUUUGAUUUCUUCCUAGUGAUGGGCGUGCAUGUUUCAAUGUUCUUAGCUAUUCAAAUAUGUGUACAGGUGAAAGCUUUGUUUAAAGUUUUAAACAAAGUGGACCCACUUAAUAUACUCAACAUGUUUUCUAGUUUUGUGCUCACUUUACCAACAUUGGAAGUGUUUUGCCAAAAGGGCAGAAUUCAGCAACAGCUUCGUAGAUAAACUGCCAAGACAGAUUUGAAAUCACAUGCUGAAUAGUGUGGACUAGGUUAAUAAAUAGGGUUUUCCAAAUGUACUAUCACCCCAAACCUCAUCAUUUGGCCCUUUCUAGGGUCCAGAAAUCUUGCUACUACUUCUUACAUUUCAGAAAUCUUACACACAUGCUGUGAUAAUCUUGUCCACCUUUGCCUUAUUUUAACCUAUAUUUUUACCCAUACCAAUAAGAACUACUGAGAGAGAAGGUUUGGUAUAGUUAUUUUACAUGGAUUUAUUUGCACUAUUUGAAUUUCAAAUUAGAAUCACUUUUCUAAAAUCUUUCAAAAAUUGUUCGAGUAUGGAAGAAGUUAUUGGAGUAGCGUUUCCUGUCAGUG
rnacentral:lncRNA from 1 species